GAUGAACGCUGGCGGCGUGCCUAAUACAUGCAAGUCGAGCGAACGGACGAGAAGCUUGCUUCUCUGAUGUUAGCGGCGGACGGGUGAGUAACACGUGGAUAACCUACCUAUAAGACUGGGAUAACUUCGGGAAACCGGAGCUAAUACCGGAUAAUAUUUUGAACCGCAUGGUUCAAAAGUGAAAGACGGUCUUGCUGUCACUUAUAGAUGGAUCCGCGCUGCAUUAGCUAGGUGGUAAGGUAACGGCUUACCAAGGCAACGAUGCAUAGCCGACCUGAGAGGGUGAUCCGCCACACGGGAACUGAGACACGGUCCAGACUCCUACGGGAGGCAGCAGUAGGGAAUCUUCCGCAAUGGGCGAAAGCCUGACGGAGCAACGCCGCGUGAGUGAUGAAGGUCUUCGGAUCGUAAAACUCUGUUAUUAGGGAAGAACAUAUGUGUAAGUAACUGUGCACAUCUUGACGGUACCUAAUCAGAAAGCCACGGCUAACUACGUG
rnacentral:rRNA from 1 species